AUUUUUACGCCUUCGAAAGGUUUGAGAAAAAUUCAAGAAAUUGCUAUCCCAUAUUGUGUUGCCGAAAAAGUAUCGUUUUUUAGUAAUGUAAUACGUGAUCGUGACUACCGUGCCAUAUAAAAGUUAAUAAUUACGAAUAUUCGCGAUCGUAUGUUGUUGUUGUCGCAAUCGUAUCAAUUAGUUUGCUCAUGCACUGUAAAUUGAAAUAUGAUGUGUAUAUAUUAUAUGAAAAUAUACAUAUGCAUGUAAAAAAAUUUUUAAAGCUAGAUUAAAUUUCAACAUCCAAAGCGUUCUUUGGCUUCAUUAGUAUGAGAACUCAGAAAAUAUUUAAAAUAUGUAAAUUAACAUGAGAAAGUUAUUUUGACUGAAUUUGCUGUUUACACAAUAAUAUAU